AGAGCGAACGCUGGCGGCAGGCUUAACACAUGCAAGUCGAGCGGGCGUAGCAAUACGUCAGCGGCAGACGGGUGAGUAACGCGUGGGAACGUACCUUUUGGUUCGGAACAACACAGGGAAACUUGUGCUAAUACCGGAUAAGCCCUUACGGGGAAAGAUUUAUCGCCGAAAGAUCGGCCCGCGUCUGAUUAGCUAGUUGGUGAGGUAAUGGCUCACCAAGGCGACGAUCAGUAGCUGGUCUGAGAGGAUGAUCAGCCACAUUGGGACUGAGACACGGCCCAAACUCCUACGGGAGGCAGCAGUGGGAAUAUUGGACAAUGGGCGCAAGCCUGAUCCAGCCAUGCCGCGUGAGUGAUGAAGGCCCUAGGUUGUAAAGCUCUUUUGUGCGGAAGAUAUGACGGUACGCAAGAAUAAGCCCGGCUAACUCGUGCCAGCAGCCGC
rnacentral:rRNA from 1 species